GUCGGGAUAGCCAAGCGGUCUAAGGCGUUGGUUUCGGGCCCCAAUCUACAUUUGUACGCAAGAGUUCGAAUCCUGCCUUCGACA
rnacentral:tRNA from 1 species